rfam:Canis lupus familiaris chromosome 21, whole genome shotgun sequence.
GCCUGGGUGGCUCAGUGGUUGAGCAUCUGCCUUCAGCUCAGGUCAUGAUCCUCGGGUCCUGGGAUCAAGUCCCACAUCGGGCU